ensembl:lncRNA
GGUAUACAUAGAUUAAUUGACAACUUCUGAAAGGUAAUCUGUGAGUACAGUUUUGCAUUUUAGUCAAUCCUUAUUUUAAUCUUCUAUUUUAGUCUCAAAUGGAACCUUACAAAAUAGCGCUUUAUUAAUUGAUUCCAGUGAAUAUGAGAUUUUCCCUCUUAGCAGAGGAGAACAUAUCUUUGUUAACGUGUAUUCAUUUUCUACUGAACAAGAAAUUAAAACAAAUGUCUCAGCUGAUUUAGCUAUGAACAUAUUAGUGUAAUAAUUUGAGGAAUAGAAUAGGAUAAAGAAUCAAAUGAGUCACUUUUUUUCUUGAUUGCCCUACGUUUAUUGCCCUGUGUGUGGACUGGGUAAAAGAUCCCUUGAUUCCAGAAGUUAAUUCCAGUUUCUUACAACGUGAGUAUUUCGUAAGUCGGCUGAGCAAAUUCAGGUAUGUUGUCUGCUUACCACUCCAGGCCCAUCUCACACCCAGAGUGGAGAAUGAACCCAGGGAGAAACAGGUUACUGAGCACUGUUGAUCACCGAGGGAAGUCCUGAUACUGAAGGGGCAAGUGUGUGAGGAAUGUUAGAGAUUCUCUAAGACUGAGACAGGCAUGCUUAUAGCAAGUCAGUGUACGAGCAUUUCACGCUAUGUAGUGAUGAAGAAGAGUAAUUAUGAGGGAUACGGGGAGUUGCAGGGGUAUUAGUGGCACCCCUUGCUUGAUUCUUACAUUAUUUUUUAGGAGCGUGUUAGCCCACUGCUAAACUCUUUUCCCUGGCUACACAACCCCCAAAUGGUAA